UCCCUGGUGGCUAAGUGGUAAAGAAUCUGCCUGGCAGUGCAGGAGACCUAGGUUCAGUCCUGACCCGGGAA
rnacentral:tRNA from 1 species